UACGUAGGCAGCGAGCGUUGUUCGGAGUUACUGGGCGUAAAGCGUGCGUAGGCGGUCGUCCAAGGCUGGUGUGAAAUCUCCCGGCUUAACUGGGAGGGUGCGCCGGAAACUGGGCUGCUGGAGUGCGGGAGAGGUAAGCGGAAUUCCCGGUGUAGCGGUGAAAUGCGUAGAUAUCGGGAGGAACCCCUGCGGUGUAGACGGCUUACUGGACCGCCACUGACGCUGAGGCACGAAAGCGUGGGUAGCAAACAGG
rnacentral:rRNA from 1 species